GAUGAACGCUGGCGGCGUGCCUAAUACAUGCAAGUCGAGCGAACAGACGAGGAGCUUGCUCCUCUGACGUUAGCGGCGGACGGGUGAGUAACACGUGGAUAACCUACCUAUAAGACUGGGAUAAUUUCGGGAAACCGGAGCUAAUACCGGAUAAUAUAUUGAACCGCAUGGUUCAAUAGUGAAAGACGGCUUUGCUGUCACUUAUAGAUGGAUCCGCGCCGCAUUAGCUAGUUGGUAAGGUAACGGCUUACCACGGCGACGAUGCGUAGCCGACCUGAGAGGAUGAUCGGCCACACUGGAACUGAGACACGGUCCAGACUCCUACGGGAGGCAGCAGUAGGGAAUCUUCCGCAAUGGGCGAAAGCCUGACGGAGCAACGCCGCGUGAGUGAUGAAGGUCUUCGGAUCGUAAAGCUCUGUUAUUAGGGAAGAACAAAUGUGUAAGUAACUAUGGACGUCUUGACGGUACCUAAUCAGAAAGCCACGGCUAACUACGUG
rnacentral:rRNA from 1 species